CAGGUUUUGUGGUUCCCCUGUGCCUGUCUUAUGCAAGAUGGACCUUUUCCAGAGUCUUUGCCUCAUGUCCGUCUUCAUAUCUGGAUGUUUUGCUCAGCACUCAGUGACACAGUCUCCAUCAGUGACCGUCUCCCCUGGACAAAAUGCCAAAUUGGGCUGCACCCUUGGAGGGGGUCUCACAGUUGCUGGAAACAGGGUGGUGUUUAUACAGCAGAAACUAAACAGCAUACCCAGAUAUAUUCUAUACUAUUUCACAGAAUCCAGCAAGGGUAAGGGAGAAGGAGUCCCAGACCGUUUUGUAGGGUCAGGCUCAGGCAGCAUUGGAUACUUGGAUAUCUUUGGGGUCCAACCUGAGGAUGAUGCCAUUUAUUACUGUGCAACAUGGACUGGAAGCCAGUACACAAUGACAUUUAAGCAUAGGGAAGUGAAACAAAUACUUUUUCCAAAGAACAAUGCUCUUUUAAAGAUAUAA